AUAGGUGAAAUGUGCGAAACUAAUAAGGGAAAAGAUGCCGAUUUUGAUAUAUAUAACUAUUGUCCUUGCUCUAAGGGAUUCAGAUGUAAAAAAUCCAAUGACAAAAAAAUUUUCUUGCUGAACAGGUAUGGAAAUUGCGAGUAACCAGG